GUGAGGUAUUAUCAUAGGAAGGGGGAAGGAACCAGCUGUCUUAGCAGUUGCCUCAUCAAAGAAGACUGUGAAAUGGCAUUAGUGAUGCGUGAGAAUUAGAAAAUGGAGUCUGGGAGAAGCACAGAGAAUACAAGUCAACUGGGCAAGCUGAAGGUCUUUGAAUUUAUUGAGCUCAGACCCUAAUGAAACCUCUGUGGAGUUCAGGCUUGUGCCCCAUCUGUGAACAGAGCAGAAGCUGGACAGAAAUUCAAUACCUACUCAUUCAGACUAACCAUGGUCUCUGCUGGGCUAAGGCUGGAUUGCCCAGUGAGAACUGAACAUGGCAGACCAAGAGGAGAC